rnacentral:rRNA from 1 species
GCCUAAUACAUGCAAGUCGAACGAUAGAUAGAAGCUUGCUUUUAUCGAAAGUGGCGCACGGGUGCGUAACGCGUAUGCAACCUACCUUUAUCAGGGGGAUAGCCUCUCGAAAGAGAGAUUAACACCGCAUAAAAUCACAAGCUGGCAUCAGCAAAUGAUCAAAUAUUUAUAGGAUAAAGAUGGGCAUGCGUGACAUUAGUUUGUUGGUGAGGUAACGGCUCACCAAGACUACGAUGUCUAGGGGAUCUGAGAGGAUGGCCCCCCACACUGGUACUGAGACACGGACCAGACUCCUACGGGAGGCAGCAGUAAGGAAUAUUGGUCAAUGGGGGCAACCCUGAACCAGCCAUGCCGCGUGCAGGAAGACGGCCCUAUGGGUUGUAAACUGCUUUUAUCCGGGAAUAAACCCCUGCUCGUGAGCAGGGUUGAAUGUACCGGAAGAAUAAGGAUCGGCUAACUCCGUGCCAGCAGCCGCGGUAAUACGGAGGAUCCAAGCGUUAUCCGGAUUUAUUGGGUUUAAAGGGUGCGUAGGCGGCUUAUUAAGUCAGGGGUGAAAGACGGUGGCUCAACCAUCGCAGUGCCUUUGAUACUGAUGAGCUUGAAUACACUUGAGGUAGGCGGAAUGUGACAAGUAGCGGUGAAAUGCAUAGAUAUGUCACAGAACACCAAUUGCGAAGGCAGCUUACUAAGGUGCAAUUGACGCUGAGGCACGAAAGCGUGGGGAUCAAACAGGAUUAGAUACCCUGGUAGUCCACGCCCUAAACGAUGAAUACUCGAUGUAGCGUUUCUGUAGCGAUAUACUGUUAGCGUCUAAGCGAAAGCGUUAAGUAUUCCACCUGGGGAGUACGCCCGCAAGGGUGAAACUCAAAGGAAUUGACGGGGGCCCGCACAAGCGGAGGAGCAUGUGGUUUAAUUCGAUGAUACGCGAGGAACCUUACCCGGGCUUGAAAGUUACUGAAGUAUCCAGAGAUGGAUGCGUCCGCAAGGACAGGAAACUAGGUGCUGCAUGGCUGUCGUCAGCUCGUGCCGUGAGGUGUUGGGUUAAGUCCCGCAACGAGCGCAACCCCUAUGUUUAGUUGCCAGCAUGUUAAGGUGGGGACUCUAAACAGACUGCCUGUGCAAACAGAGAGGAAGGAGGGGACGACGUCAAGUCAUCAUGGCCCUUACGUCCGGGGCUACACACGUGCUACAAUGGGCAGUACAGAGGGCCGCUACCUGGUAACAGGAUGCCAAUCUCAAAAAGCUGUUCACAGUUCGGAUUGAGGUCUGCAACUCGACCUCAUGAAGUUGGAUUCGCUAGUAAUCGCAGAUCAGCAAUGCUGCGGUGAAUACGUUCCCGGGCCUUGUACACACCGCCCGUCAAGCCAUGAAAGUUUGGGGUACCUGAAGUAUGUUACCGCAAGGAGCGUCCUAGGGUAAAACGGAUA